rnacentral:lncRNA from 1 species
CCCUUCCAAACCGGUUCAAACCGAAUUGCAAUGCCAAGAUGCCAUCCUUUAAGAAUCAACAAUGUUAUUCUCGUUGUUACAACUUCUUACAAAGGAAAAAAUAAUUGCAAAAAUACAGUAUCAAUUCUUAGCAAUCAUUGUUUUGAUUUUUCUGGACACUCUUCAACUUCUAGACCCGAAAUAAUCCUUCUCUGGCAAUCGAGGUGGGAUCUGUUAAAAGCCAUGAUCCAUGAAGAAGAAUCAAGUAAAUCAAUGGAAGAAUCAUCAACCAUUCAUCUUUGACAUGGCAAGUUUGAGAGAUGAGAGAUGAGAGACAUGGAAGAUUGGUAGAGAAAAAGACAAAUUUUACUCAAAUAUUAAAAGGAAAUAUUAAAGCUUUACCUGUAAUCUUUACCUUUCCUUCACGUUGAGACUUGAG